GAUGAACGCUGGCGGCGUGCCUAAUACAUGCAAGUCGAGCGAACGGACGAGGAGCUUGCUUCUCUGACGUUAGCGGCGGACGGGUGAGUAACACGUGGAUAACCUACCUAUAAGACUGGGAUAACUUCGGGAAACCGGAGCUAAUACCGGAUAAUAUUUUGAACCGCAUGGUUCAAUAGUGAAAGACGGUCUUGCUGUCACUUAUAGAUGGAUCCGCGCUGCAUUAGCUAGUUGGUAAGGUAACGGCUUACCAAGGCAACGAUGCAUAGCCGACCUGAGAGGGUGAUCGGCCACACUGGAACUGAGACACGGUCCAGACUCCUACGGGAGGCAGCAGUAGGGAAUCUUCCGCAAUGGGCGAAAGCCUGACGGAGCAACGCCGCGUGAGUGAUGAAGGUCUUCGGAUCGUAAAACUCUGUUAUUAGGGAAGAACAAAUGUGUAAGUAACUGUGCACGUCUUGACGGUACCUAAUCAGAAAGCCACGGCUAACUACGUG
rnacentral:rRNA from 1 species